rnacentral:rRNA from 1 species
UGAGGAAUAUUGGUCAAUGGGCGAGAGCCUGAACCAGCCAAGUAGCGUGCAGGAAGACGGCCCUAUGGGUUGUAAACUGCUUUUGUAUGGGGAUAAAGUCAAUCACGUGUGAUUGUUUGCAGGUACCAUACGAAUAAGGACCGGCUAAUUCCGUGCCAGCAGCCGCGGUAAUACGGAAGGUCCGGGCGUUAUCCGGAUUUAUUGGGUUUAAAGGGAGCGUAGGCUGGAGAUUAAGUGUGUUGUGAAAUGUAGACGCUCAACGUCUGACUUGCAGCGCAUACUGGUUUCCUUGAGUACGCACAACGUUGGCGGAAUUCGUCGUGUAGCGGUGAAAUGCUUAGAUAUGACGAAGAACUCCGAUUGCGAAGGCAGCUGACGGGAGCGCAACUGACGCUGAAGCUCGAAGGUGCGGGUAUCGAACAGGAUUAGAUACCCUGGUAGUCCGCACAGUAACGAUGGAUGCCCGCUGUUGGUACCUGGUAUCAGCGGCUAAGCGAAAGCAUUAAGCAUCCCACCUGGGGAGUACGCCGGCNCGGU